rnacentral:lncRNA from 1 species
CAGACAGGUGAAGACAGAACAAGAAAACAAACCAAGAAUUUCCCCUCACCAGCCACCAGCUCUGCCAGCAACUUGAUCUUAGACUUCCCAGCCUCCGUAACGCCUCUGCUUAUAAUCUGUCAUGGAUUGGAAAACUAGAAAAAACAGUUUACAGAGUAUAACAAACUUUGGAGGAGUUAAUCGACUCUAAGUAAAAGAGUAUCUAGCACGGCUGUGGAACAAAGGAGAGACUCACAAACUGUUGAAAGAAUAAAUGAAUGAAUGAAUUCUGUUCAUGAGCUUUAAUAAAACAGCUCUGAGUAGUAACAGUGGAUCAAAUUUAGGCUUCUUGAUGCAGGCAUGGUGUAGAUUACUACUUCUGUAUUGUCCCAGGAGCUCAGCACAUUCCUGCAGAGAUGAUAGGAGCUCAUCUGAUACUUGUCAGCUCUGUAGCCAAGACCAGGAAGUGGCUGCAUUACAAGGUACAAAACAUGCCCCCACAACCCCCAGCUCCCGACAUGAGGAAGAUGAGCAGAGCAGUUUCCUCUAAAAUCUGCUUGGCUGGGGCAAGCAUGAUGAUAUCUAUAGGUAAAAGCUUUGAAUAAACUCCAGUCCCCAAGAGAGAGAAUGAGAAUCACCGGAAUACGAAACUUCCCUGUUGGACUUCCCAACAUUCUUGAAUGCACCAAGAUAGCCUCUUGCUGUGAGAUUAAUAAAUGAAUAAAUGCCUCCAUAUUUUUCAAAUCU